rnacentral:rRNA from 1 species
GACGAACGCUGGCGGCGUGCCUAAUACAUGCAAGUAGAACGCUGAAGCUUGGUGCUUGCACCGAGCGGAUGAGUUGCGCACGGGUGAGUAACGCGUAGGUAACCUGCCUGGUAGCGGGGGAUAACUAUUGGAAACGAUAGCUAAUACCGCAUAAGAGUAGAUGUUUCAUGACAUUUGCUUAAAAGGUGCAAUUGCAUCACUACCAGAUGGACCUGCGUUGUAUUAGCUAGUUGGUGAGGUAACGGCUCACCAAGGCAACGAUACCUAGCCGACCUAAGAGGAUGAUCGGCGACACUGGGACUGGGACAAGGCCCAGAACUCUACGGGAGGCAGCAGUAGGGAAUCUUCGGCAAUGGACGGAAGGCUGACCGAGGCACGCCGCGUGAGUGAAGAAGGUUUUCGGAUCGUAAAGAUCUUUUGUAAGAGAAGAACGAAAGUGAGAGUGGAAAGUUCACACUGUGACGGUAUCUUACCAGAAAGGGACGGCUAACUACGUG